rnacentral:rRNA from 1 species
UGGGGAAUUUUGGACAAUGGGCGAAAGCCUGAUCCAGCAAUGCCGCGUGUGUGAAGAAGGCCUUCGGGUUGUAAAGCACUUUUGUCCGGAAAGAAAUGGCUCUGGUUAAUACCUGGGGUCGAUGACGGUACCGGAAGAAUAAGGACCGGCUAACUACGUGCCAGCAGCCGCGGUAAUACGUAGGGUCCAAGCGUUAAUCGGAAUUACUGGGCGUAAAGCGUGCGCAGGCGGUUGUGCAAGACCGAUGUGAAAUCCCCGAGCUUAACUUGGGAAUUGCAUUGGUGACUGCACGGCUAGAGUGUGUCAGAGGGGGGUAGAAUUCCACGUGUAGCAGUGAAAUGCGUAGAGAUGUGGAGGAAUACCGAUGGCGAAGGCAGCCCCCUGGGAUAACACUGACGCU